AAGAUUAUUUUUAGGUGAAAUCCUCAAUGUAACUCAGUGGAUGCUGAGUAUGGACGGUCAGGUGGUUGUGAAUCCACACCCCAACCUUGUGGCUGGAUUUGCAGCUUUGUUCGCAUCAUACUACAACUUCAACCUGGUUUACCAGAGGGAGGCAUCCUCCACACUUGAAUUUGUUCAAAGAUGUUUUGUUGGAAUCACACCUACCACUGGCAUCAAGACAGCAUUAAGAGGCAAAAAAGUGGAAACGCCUCUGAGAAGAGAAACAACACCAUCAACCCUCAUGUGUGUACUCUUUUCAGAAAAUUAUUGGACUUUAAAUGGUUACGCAUGUAAGUUCUUGUUCAUGUAUAAAGACCAAAACAUGUUGUAAAUAGGCCAGUUCUGUGAUUGAACACUUGUGUUUCUAGACAUACAAGUUAUGUCAUGUUCUAACACAGAUUCAACAAGAUCUUAAAUGUAACACAAACCGUGUUUAGAUGUUUUAUAGAUGCCAUUGUUUUAGAAUAUUCAGGAUUGAGUGGAAUAGUUGCUGAAACAACAUCAUUUUUUUGAAAGUACUUUGCUGUCAGUUUUAAUAAAUGUUGUUCUUGAAGCA